AGCUCCAAUAGCGUAUAUUAAAGUUGUUGCGGUUAAAAAGCUCGUAGUUGGAUUUCUGCCGAGGACGACCGGUCCGCCCUCUGGGUGAGUAUCUGGCUCGGCCUGGGCAUCUUCUUGGAGAACGUAGCUGCACUUGACUGUGUGGUGCGGUAUCCAGGACUUUUACUUUGAGGAAAUCAGAGUGUUUCAAGCAGGCAUACGCCUUGAAUACAUUAGCAUGGAAUAAUAAGAUAGGACCUCGGUUCUAUUUUGUUGGUUUUCGGAAAUCGACUUAAUGAUUAAUAGGGACAGUCGGGGGCAUUUGUAUUCAAACGACAGAGGUGAAAUUCUUGGACCGUUUGAAGACAAACUACUGCGAAAGCAUUUGCCAAGAAUGUUUUCA
rnacentral:rRNA from 1 species